AAUUCAAAUUGGAGAUUGUUUCCUUCUCCAAUAUAAAUUCAGAUUGGAAUAGCUUCAAUCUCCAAAUUCAAAUUGGAGAUUAUUUUCUUCUCCCAUACAAAUUCAAAUUGGAGGUUCUUUGCUUCUCCAAUCUAAGUUCAAAUCGGAAGAGUUUUAUUUCUGAUUAAGUAAGGUGAUGAAAAAGUCUUCUAAAAUCUGUUUGAAAUUAGAUAUCAUGCCUCACCAAUGGAUCUUAAGUGUAGAGAUUCAUGGAAAAAAAUGACAGUUUUGAGACUAAGUAAGGUGAUGAAAAAAUCUUCCAAAAUCUGUUUGAAAUUGGAUAUC
rnacentral:lncRNA from 1 species